UACGAGAGCCUCGAGCGUUAUCCGGAAUUAUUGGGCGUAAAGGGUGUGUAGGUUGUUCUGUUAGUCUUUUGUUAAAACCUCGGGCUUAACCCGGGGAUUGCGGGGGAAACGGCAGAACUAGAAAGUGUGAGAGGUGUACGGAACUCAUGGUGUAGGGGUGAAAUCCGUUGAUAUCAUGGGGAACACCAAAAGCGAAAGCAGUACACUAGCGCAUAUUUGACACUGAAACACGAAAGCGUGGGUAGCGAAUGGG
rnacentral:rRNA from 1 species